rnacentral:rRNA from 1 species
AAUCAACGCUGGCGGCGUGCCUAACACAUGCAAGUCCACGAGAAAGCGGUAGCAAUACUGCCGGUAAAGUGGCGAACGGGUGAGUAACACGUGGGUAACUUACCCUUGGGACUGGAAUAACCUCGAGAAAUCGGGGCUAAUACCGGAUAAUGCAGCGGACCCGCAUGGGUAUGUUGUUAAAGUGGUCUUGGCUUGCCAAGUUCACACCUAAGGAUGGACCUGCGCCCCACUUA